rnacentral:lncRNA from 1 species
UAUAUUUAGUUUUUAUACGACCGCAAAAUUUGAAAAAUUUUUCGUCGUAUAUUGCUAUCAAGUUGGCGUCGUCGUCUGCGUCGUCGUCGUCGUCGUCGUCGUCCGAAUACUUUUAGUUUUCGUACUCUAACUUUAGUAAAAAAGAAUGGAAAUCUAUGAAAUUUUAACACAAGGUUUAUGACCACAAAAGGAAGGUUGGUAUUGAUUUUGGGAGUUUUGGUCCCAACAUUUUAGGAAUUAGGGGCCAUAAAGGGCCCAAAUAAGCAUUUUCUUGGUUUUCGCACUAUAACUUUAGUUUAAGUUAAUAGAAAUCUAUGAAAUUUUGACACAAGGUUUAUGACCACAAAAGAACGAUUGGGAUUGAUUUUGGGAGUUUUGGUUUCAACAGUUUAGGAAUUAGGGGCCAAAAAAGGGCCCAAAUAAGCAUUAUUCUUGGUUUUCGCACAAUAACUUUAGUUUAAGUAAACAGAAAUCAAUGAAAUUUAAACACAAUGUUAAUGA